UAGCAAAAUAAAACAAAAUGGGCUCACAUACUAACAAGAGAAAAAAGCUAAUUAAGUGCAUGCAGGAGUAACGUCAAUCGUUAUGACACGGUUCCAACUGUGUUUCUUAUCAAGGUGGUUAGGAUGCUAUUAAGAUUAUAGAAAGUUUGCCUUUGAGGGUGAACAUGGAUAGGAAUUCGGGAUGAACAAGUUGAGAAGGAAUAAAGUUUUAUUAUUUG